UACUAUGGAUAUGGGAACAACGGUGCCCGUAUGGGUUGGGGUAUGGGGUGACCGACUGGUUAUGGCACUCAUAUGAGUUGGGUUAUGAGAAUAGCCGGUGUUUGUGGUGCCCAUAUGGGUUGAGGUGUGAGGAGGCUGAUAAUAGUGGUGCUUAUAUGAGUUGGGGUAUAAGUACAACCAACGAUUUAUCAUUGAUUAUGAAAAUAUUUGAGUAUCCACAAGUAGAGAGGAUCAUUAAUGUGUUAAAUAGUAUCAGUUAAAGAGGCAUUAUGUGAUAAAAACUAAAGAUAUUUGUGGCCCUG
rnacentral:lncRNA from 1 species